rnacentral:rRNA from 1 species
AGCGAACGCUGGCGGCAGGCCUAACACAUGCAAGUCGAACGAAAUCUUCGGACUUAGUGGCGGACAGGCGGGUAACACGGGGGAAGGUGCCUUUAGGUUCGGAAUAACUCAGGGAAACUUGUGCAAAUCAUGAACGUGCCCUUCGGGGGAAAGAUUGAUCGCCUGUAGAGCUGCGAGCGUCUGAUGAGCUAGUUGGUGAGGUAAAGGCUCACCAGGGCGAGGAUCAGUAGGUGGUCUGUGAGGAUGACCAGCCAAAUUGGGACUGAGACACGGCCCAAACUGCUACGGGAGGCAGCAGUGGGGAAUGUUGCGCAAUGGGCGAAAGCCUGACGCAGCCAUGCCGCGUGGAUGAUGAAGGUCUUAGGAAUGUAAAAUCCUUUCACCGGUGAAGAUAAUGACUGUAGCCGGAGAAGAAGCCCCGGCUAACUUCGUGCCAGCCGGCGCAGUAACAC